rnacentral:rRNA from 1 species
AUUGAACGCUGGCGGCAUGCUUUACACAUGCAAGUCGGACGGCAGCGGGGGUGCUUGCACCUGCCGGCGAGUGGCGAACGGGUGAGUAACAUAUUGGAAUGUACCGAGUAGUGGGGGAUAACCAAUCGAAAGAUUGGCUAAUACCGCAUACGUCCUGAGGGGGAAAGCAGGGGAUCUUCGGACCUUGCGCUAUUUGAGCAGCCAAUAUCUGAUUAGCUAGUUGGUGGGGUAAGGGCCCACCAAGGCGACGAUCAGUAGCGGGUCUGAGAGGAUGAUCCGCCACACUGGGACUGAGACACGGCCCAGACUCCUACGGGAGGCAGCAGUGGGGAAUUUUGGACAAUGGGGGCAACCCUGAUCCAGCCAUGCCGCGUGUCUGAAGAAGGCCUUCGGGUUGUAAAGGACUUUUGUUAGGGAAGAAAAGGGAAGUGUUAAUACCACUUUUUGCUGACGGUACCUAAAGAAUAAGCACCG